GCGAAAAACCUUACCUACCCUUGACAUUGUAAGAAUUUUGCAGAGAUGUGAAAGUGCUUCGGGAACUUGAAAACAGGUGCUGCACGGCUGUCGUCAGCUCGUGUCGUGAGAUGUUGGGUUAAGUCCCGCAACGAGCGCAACCCUCUUCUUUUAUUGCUAACAGUUCGGCUGAGCACUCUAAAGAUACUGCCUUCGUAAGGAGGAGGAAGGUGAGGUCGACGUCAAGUCAUUAUGGCSCUUAUGGGUAGGGCUACACACGUGCURCNAUGGGGCAUACAGAGAGUCGCAACGAUCGCGAGGUGARGCUAAUCUUUAAAGUGUCUCKCAGUUCGGAUUAUUCUCUGCAACUCGAGAAUAUGAAGCUGGAAUCGCUAGUAAUCGUGAAUCRGAAUGUCACGGUGAAUACGUUCCCGGG
rnacentral:rRNA from 1 species